UGGCAGGCAGGUAAAGCACCAUCGCCUCCCGUGCCAGGUGAAGUGUAAGUAGUCCCUGUAUUCCACCGCUAUCGGCACCGUGAAAUACGCGUCCUUCAGAUCCAACUUGGCCAGCCAGUCCGACUGCCGAAGGAGGUCUCUGAGGCAGUGUAUACCUUCCAUCUGAAAAUGCUGGUAUCGGAGGAAUGCGUUGAGAGGACGGAGAUUUAUCACCGGACGGACCCAGCCCCCUUUCUUGGGUACCAGAAAGAGAUUGCUCGUAAAGCCCGGAGUGGCGAACGGCAACUCUUCUACUGCGCCUUUUGAUAGCAUCUCCCCGACGUCCGCG